rnacentral:rRNA from 1 species
UACGUAGGGUGCAAGCGUUGUCCGGAAUUAUUGGGCGUAAAGAGCUCGUAGGCGGUUUGUUGCGUCGGCUGUGAAAUCCCCGAGGCUCAACCUCGGGUCUGCAGUCGAUACGAGCAAACUAGAGUGUUGCAGGGGAGACUGGAAUUCCUGGUGUAGCGGUGAAAAUGCGCAGAUAUCAGGAGGAACACCGGUGGCGAAGGCGGGUCUCUGGGCAACACUGACGUGAGGAGCGAAAGCGUGGGGGAGCGAACAGG